rnacentral:rRNA from 1 species
AGACGUCUACAUUAGAUACCCGUGUAGUCCCAGCCGUAAACUAUGCGCGUUAGGUGUAUCGGUGACCACGAGUCACCGAGGUGCCAAAGGGAAACCGUGAAACGUGCCGCCUGGGAAGUACGGUCGCAAGGCUGAAACUUAAAGGAAUUGGCGGGGAGCACCACAACGGGUGGAGCCUGCGGUUUAAUUGGACUCAACGCCGGGAAGCUCACCGGAUAAGACAGCGGAAUGAUUGCCGGGCUGAAGACUCUGCAUGACUAGCUG